GGGGGCGAAACGGCUUCGACGGGGGUAUUGAAGCACAGGCUGCAUGCCGAGCGCUCGUCAGCUCGUAAAAACGACGGGAACUAAACAUAAUCGCAGACGAUUAUAACUACGCCGUAGCUGCUUAGGCGGCUACCGUUCCACCGGGGAGCGCCCGCGACCCUGGAUGGGGCGUCGACUAGCGGGACCGCUGUUUCGGAAGCGCCUGUGGCCGAAACGGCUAAAUCAGCAGGCUAAGCCGUCGGGAAUCCAGUCCGUGGGAGGCCCGCCGGACGAAAACCAAAACACGGAAUAAGCAUGUAGAGGUUUGUGUGGAUUACUUUCGGACGCGGGUUCAACUCCCGCCGCCUCCACCA
rnacentral:tmRNA from 1 species